UACGUAGGGAGCAAGCGUUGUCCGGAAUCAUUGGGCGUAAAGCGCGUGUAGGCGGCCCGGUAAGUCCGCUGUGAAAGUCCAGGGCUCAACCCUGGGAUGCCGGUGGAUACUGUCGGGCUCGAGUCCGGAAGAGGCGAGUGGAAUUCCUGGUGUAGCGGUGAAAUGCGCAGAUAUCAGGAGGAACACCAAUGGCGAAGGCAGCUCGCUGGGACGGUACUGACGCUGAGGCGCGAAAGCGUGGGGAGCAAACAGG
rnacentral:rRNA from 1 species